rnacentral:rRNA from 1 species
CAGUCAUGCUAGUGAGGAAUCAACCUGAUGGUGUGUGGGUUCUCCCUCGUACUUUCUGGUGCACUUUUCUCACCUGGCAGGUUAGCAUCAAUUUCGGUUAUCAAUAAAAAUUUUGAGAGAAUGUGGC